GACGAACGCUGGCGGCGUGCUUAAUACAUGCAAGUCGAGCGGAGCUUCAGUUGAUAGUUUACUAUUGAUUGAAGCUUAGCGGCGGACGGGUGAGUAACGCGUGGGCAACCUGCCCUCUAGCCUGGGAUAACAGCGCGAAAGUGCUGCUAACACCGGAUAUGCUCACAGGGAGGCAUCUCCCAGUGAGGAAAGUUUACACUAGAGGAUGGGCCCGCGUCCCAUUAGCUAGUUGGUGAGGUAACGGCCCACCAAGGCGACGAUGGGUAGCCGACCUGAGAGGGUGAUCGGCCACACUGGGACUGAGACACGGCCCAGACUCCUACGGGAGGCAGCAGUAGGGAAUUUUCCGCAAUGGGCGCAAGCCUGACGGAGCAACGCCGCGUGAGGGAUGAAGGUUUUCGGAUCGUAAACCUCUGUCUUCAGGGACGAUAAUGACGGUACCUGAGGAGGAAGCCACGGCUAACUACGUG
rnacentral:rRNA from 1 species